GAUGAACGCUGACAGAAUGCUUAACACAUGCAAGUCUUUGGCGAAGCUGUGCUUGCACAGCCUAGCCAAGGCGGACGGGUGAGUAACGCGUAAGGAACUUGCCCUGCAGUCAGGGAUAACAGACGGAAACGACUGAUAAGACCUGGUAAAGUCAGGCGGACUCAUGUCCAGCCUGAUGAAAAGAGAUGCUGCAGGAGAGCCUUGCGUCCUAUUAGCUUGUUGGUGGGGUAACGGCCCACCAAGGCGAUGAUAGGUAGCCGGCCUGAGAGGGUGGACGGCCACAAGGGGACUGAGAGACGGCCGUGACGCCUACGGGAGGAAGCAGUGGGGAAUAUUGGACAAUGGGGGCAACCCUGAUGCAGCAAUUCUGUGUGCAAGAUGAAGGUUUUCGGAUGGAAAAGUGCUUUCAGCAGGGAAGAAAAAAAUGACGGUACCUGCAGAAGAAGCGACGGCUAAAUACGUG
rnacentral:rRNA from 1 species